GACGAACGCUGGCGGCGUGCUUAACACAUGCAAGUCGAACGGAAAGGCCCUGCUUUUGUGGGGUGCUCGAGUGGCGAACGGGUGAGUAACACGUGAGUAACCUGCCCUUGACUUUGGGAUAACUUCAGGAAACUGGGGCUAAUACCGGAUAGGAGCUCCUGCUGCAUGGUGGGGGUUGGAAAGUUUCGGCGGUUGGGGAUGGACUCGCGGCUUAUCAGCUUGUUGGUGGGGUAGUGGCUUACCAAGGCUUUGACGGGUAGCCGGCCUGAGAGGGUGACCGGCGACAUUGGGACUGAGAGACGGACCAGACUCCUACGGGAGGCAGCAGUGGGGAAUAUUGCACAAUGGGCGGAAGCCUGAUGCAGCAACGCCGCGUGCGGGAUGACGGCCUUCGGGUUGUAAACCGCUUUCGCCUGUGACGAAGCGUGAGUGACGGUAAUGGGUAAAGAAGCACCGGCUAACUACGUG
rnacentral:rRNA from 1 species